rnacentral:rRNA from 1 species
CGUGCAAAUCGAUUUAGUUUGAUAAUUAUAAAAUUAUUUAUUUUUUUUGUUUAAAUUUAUUAAUAAAAAUAAUUUUAUUUUUAUAAAUUUUUAGUAUAUUUUAUUGAAAAAAUUAGUUUAAUUAUAGUGUAUUAGUAUUGUGAGAGAGUUUUUAAAUAUUAUUUAAUUUUAUAAAAGUAUAAUUAAUUUUUAGUACCUUGUGUAUCAGGGUUUAUUAAAUAAAGGUUAUAUAAUUUAAUUUUCCCGAAUUUAAGAGAGUUAAUAUAUUAUUUUUUUUAUUGUAAAAAAAAUAUUUAAAAUAAUUUAUUAGUAAUGAAAUGUUAUUCGUUCUUAAAUAUAUCUGGUUUAUUUAGAAAUAAAUUUAAUUUAUACAUUUAUAUUUUAAUAUUUUGAUUUAUUAAUUUAUUAAAUUUAAAUGUAAAUAAUUAAGGGGAUUAGCUUUUAAUUAAAAAUUUAAAAAUUUGAAGUUUAUAUUAAAAAAUGUAAGUUUAGAAUUAUCUAUCAAUUAUAGUAUGUUAUAAUAAAUUUAAUUAAAAAUAUAAUUUUAUAAUAUUUUAAGUUUUUUAUAAAUAAUUAAUUUUUAAUUUUAUAGAUUUAGUUAUAAUGAUAAAAUUAGUAUAAAUUUUAUAUUUAAAUAUUUUUUUUUAAAAGAUUAUUUAAAGGAAUUCGGCAAAAAUUUUACUCGCCUGUUUAACAAAAACAUGUCCUUUUGAGAUUAAUAUAAGGUCUGACCUGCCCACUGAAUAAUUUAAAUGGCCGCAGUAUUUUGACUGUGCGAAGGUAGCAUAAUCAUUAGUUUUUUAAUUAAAAGCUUGUAUGAAGGGUUGGACGAGGUAAACUCUGUCUCUAUUUAAAUUAAAUUAGAAUUUAAUUUUUAAGUUAAAAAGCUUAAAUUUUUUUAAAAGACGAGAAGACCCUAUAGAUCUUUAUAAUUAGUUAAAUAAAAUAAAUUAAGAUUAAUUUUUAUUUUAUUCAAUUAAUUAUUUUAUUGGGGUAAUAGGAAGAUUAAAUUAAUUCUUUUUAAUUUAUUAACAUAAAUAAAUGAUUUAUUGAUCCAUUUUUAUUGAUUAUAAGAUUAAGUUACCUUAGGGAUAACAGCGUAAUUUUUUUAGAGAGUUCAUAUCGAUAAAAAAGUUUGCGACCUCGAUGUUGGAUUAAAAAUUAUCUUAGGUGCAGAAGUUUAAGAUUUUGGUCUGUUCGACCAUUAAAUUUUUACAUGAUCUGAGUUCAAACCGGUGUAAGCCAGGUUGGUUUCUAUCUUUAUAAAAAUAUAAUAUUUUAGUACGAAAGGACCAAGUAUUAAUUAUAUUAAUAGUUAUAAUUUGAAUAAUAUUAUUACUUUGGCAGAAUAGUGUGGUGAAUUUAGAAUUCAUUUA